ACCGCACAAGCGGUGGAUGAUGUGGAUUAAUUCGAUGCAACGACGAAAACCUUACCUACCUUGACAUGUCCGGAAUCCCGAAGAGAUUUGGGAGUGCUCGCAAGAGAACCGGAACACAGGUGCUGCAUGGCUGUCGUCAGCUCGUGUCGUGAGAUGUUGGGUUAAGUCCCGCAACGAGCGCAACCCUUGUCAUUAGUUGCCAUCAUUUGGUUGGGCACUCUAAUGAGACUGCCGGUGACAAACCGGAGGAAGGUGGGGAUGACGUCAAGUCCUCAUGGCCCUUAUGGGUAGGGCUUCACACGUCAUACAAUGGUCGGUACAGAGGGUUGCCAACCCGCGAGGGGGAGCUAAUCCCACAAAGCCGAUCGUAGUCCGGAUCGCAGUCUGCAACUCGACUGCGUGAAGUCGGAAUCGCUAGUAAUCGUGGAUCAGCAUGUCACGGUGAAUACGUUCCCGGGUCCUU
rnacentral:rRNA from 1 species